rnacentral:sRNA from 1 species
UUUAUUUAGUUUAAAAACUACAAAUUUAGGAUUGUUUGAAAGCUACUAAUUUAAAAAGAUAAACUACUCAUAGAAGAUGACUCCAACAUGGUCCUUUAGAAACCUCUCCAGUACUGUCGUUGAGUAGUGUGGGGGAAUUGACAGACACUUGGUACUCGUGGUUCGGCGCCAUAUCGAGGUCCGAAUUUGACGAUGCCUUAGUAUCAGGGAGGGCUGGCAACGACGGACAUGGGUACUCCUCGCCUUGCUGAACCACAUCCACCAAACACUACAGGUCGAAGGUAGACUCAAUGGCUUUGUAUUUACAAUUUUGGUAUGAAGAAAGCUAAGUUUUAAAAAUUCUAACAUAUUCAUAGUCAUUGAGUUGUUUAGUGUUUUGCAUAGUUUCUAGAGAAUGUUUACUAGUGUCUGGUUAUACAUGCAAACGAAACAAUUUCUAUUGUCAUGGUUCCAAAAUAAAACAGAGCAAAACGUUGCAUUUGAAACUACUAACAGUUAUUAUAGAUGUAGAUAUGAACGUGACUAUGAAAAGUUGGAACUUUUGU